rnacentral:rRNA from 1 species
GAUGAACGCCGGCGGUGUGCCUAAUACAUGCAAGUCGUACGCACUGGCCCAACUAAUUGAUGGUGCUUGCACCUGAUUGACGAUGGAUCACCAGUGAGUGACGGACGGGUGAGUAACACGUAGGUAACCUGCCCCGGAGCGGGAGAUAACAUUUGGAAACAGAUGCUAAUACCGCAUAACAACAAAGGCCGCAUGGCUUUUGUUUGAAAGAUGGCUUUGGCUAUCACUCUGGGAUGGACCUGCGGUGCAUUAGCUAGUUGGUAAGGUAACGACUUACCAAGGCGAUGAUGCAUAGCCGAGUUGAGAGACUGAUCGGCCACAAUGGAACUGAGACACGGUCCAU